CCACAGGCUCUUUUAAGAGCCAUGCCAACAUCCUCUAAUAAAAACU
rfam:TPA: Bos taurus chromosome 18, whole genome shotgun sequence.